UCGUUCCUACACAAAAGAACACUCCCAAGAAAUGAGUGAUCUUCCCCAAGUAAAAAUCUAGAAAUGGAAUCCCUAUUUCCAAUUCCAUUCCCCACUGUAUUUUCAAAUCAAAUCCCCGCUCUGAUUUGAGGUCUUCAGACGCCUCUCAUUUCCUAAAUAAAAAUUUUAAACUCAAAAACCUUUCUUCAGCUAGCGGCCUCACCCAGUGCUUGGAACCUUGGGCCGCCGAAGACCCCUCUGCCGAUAACCACCAGAAACAAUCCCUUUCUCUAGUUAAAAAAUAGCCAAAAAACGCAGUUGAAAUCACCUUGAGCAACGCUGCACAAACUAGCCAUGGACAUCACCUAAGCUCCCUUAGAAACAACCAUCAAAAUCCCGGGCAAAGCACAGUCAGAAUCAGUUCACAAAACACACAAACUCCAGUCAAGCUCGAGCUUUGCCGACGAGUUUUCCGUUCGAACUCCGGUCACAUUUCAAUUCUCGUAUAAUUUUCAAUCGGAGUUUGCUGUUGCGCUUUCAUUUGGCGGAGCCUUUGCUGUACGUUGGUUUACUUUGGGGUUUCUUAAUAUUCUAAUCCAAAAAGGAGUUACUGCAGUGAAAGAUCUUGGGGAGUUUGGGAGCUAGACAAGGGAAAAUCUGACAAAAGGGAUUACAGAACAAUAGUUCUUCAAAAUAAUCUUGAAAUCCUUUUCAUCAGUGACCCAGAAACUAUUAAAGUAUGUUACUUUUAUUCAUUUGUAUUUUACUUUUGUACGUUUCCUUCAAUUCCUCUUAUAUGGGUUUAGCUUGAAAUUAUUUGGUUUCAUUAAUAGCAUAUUAAUUUCAUUUUUGUUGUUUUAUUUUGGAGUAUCUGUUAGUGUGCAGCUUCAAGGAACCUUGGUUUGGUUUGGACCUUAGUUUAAUUGAACCUUUGUUCUUGAAAAUGCUUAUUUUAAUUGCACUAUAUGUCAGACUGAUUCUAUCAUAUCAAAUUUCCAAAUACUGAAAACUUAGAGAAGGAUUCCAAUCCAACACUUUUGUUGCAGCUGAUACAUAAAUUUGGCCUCACAAUAAUCUCAAUUAGAUUAGGAAAUAAAGCACAAACAUCAUAGCUUGCUUUAGGUGCGAUUAAUAAUAAAUCGUCGUGAUUGUGGGUACGGUUCUCGUGGCAUAGUCAUGAUAUAUUAAAUCCAAAUGCUGGGAUGUAUUUCAUGUGACCCGACCAUAAUUUUGAAUAAUAAUAAAUAAAAUAAACGUGUCGUGAAUCUUGGGUGCAUUUCAUGUAGCGUGGUUUACGAUGUGUUUUCAAAAAUAAGCAAGUGUAUGACGAUCAUGAAUUUUCCUAAAAUAAUUAAAAGUGGCUAGAAAGUUAAAAAUGCAAUAGUUCUAAACAUGUAUUAAAUCAGAUAAACAGACCAAUAUUAAUAGUUCAGCGACUGUGAUAAAACCACGAAACUCGUGAAUGCCUAACACCUUCUUCCGGGUUAACAGAAUUCCUUACCCGGAUUUCUGUGUUUGUAGACCAUAAAUAGAGUCAACUUUCCUCGAAAUCACGUAAAGGCACGUCAACAGGCUAUAAAGAAACAGUAAAAGCCAGUAAAAACAAUGAAACAGUGGAAAUAUGUAAAGUCAUUUUAGUUCAGUUUAAGCUUCUUUAGAAAUGCCUUUUUAACAGUUAAGCAAUUAAAUGCAAAACAGCUAGAACAAAUAAACACAUAAGAAUCCAGCCCUCGGGCACAAUGUCAACAGAAUCCGCCCCUCGGGCAAUAUCAUGGAACAAUCACAGCCCCUCGGGCUAUAUCACAUGUCACAAUGGGUACCCGCGCUCACUGGGGGUGUGCAGACUCCUGGAGUGUCCCCUUACGACCCAAGCGCAAUAUCAAGCCAUCUCGUGGCAUAAUCACAUAGGCUUUCGGCCUCAUAUCAACAAGCCACCUCGUGGCGUAAAUUCUCAGGCCCUCGGCCUCAUAAUCAUAAUCAGUGUAUCACUGCUGCGGCGUGCAGCCCAACCCAAAAGUAUCCUCACAACAUAGGCCCUCGGCCUUACUCAGUCAGAAUCUCAUAAGCCACUCGGGCAACAGUAAAACAUGAUGCUCAGUCCAAAAUAUCACUUAAAGUAUCAUUUAAUGUGUUAAAAUAAAGUAAACAUGGUUGAGUUAUAAAACAAGUAGAAUAUAGCAUGACUGAGUUCAAGUAUAAAGUCAAAACAGUAGGGAAAUAUCAGGAAAAGUCCCCUAAGGGUUCAAAUAGUUGGCACGAGGCCCAAAUAUGGCAUUAAGCCCAAAACAUAAUGAUAACAAAUAAUUUUCAGUCAAAUACGCGGUAAAACAAUCAUUUGGGAUGGACUAAGUCACAAUCCCCAAUAGUGCACGACCCAACGCUCGUCAUCUAGCGUGUGCGUCACCUCAAUAUAGCACAACGAUGUGCAAUUCAGGGUUUUAUACCCUCAGGACAACAUUUACAAUCAUUACUCACCUCAAUCCGAGCAAAAUCCUACUCCGAAAUGCUUUUGCCGCUCAAAUCGGCCUCCAAACGUCCCGAAUCUAGUCAUAAUUAACUUGAUUCAUUCAAUACAUAUUAUAGGAAUUAAUUCCAUAUGAAAAUACUAAUUUUUCAACAAAAUCCGAAAUUAACCCAAAAAUCGCCCGUGGGGCCUCCAUCUCGGAAUACAACAAAACUUACGGAAUGUAAACCCCCAUCCAACCACGAGUCCAACCAUACAAAUUUCACCAAAAUCCGACAUCGGAUUGACUUUCAAAUCUUAAAAAUUUGUCUUUAUGGAAUUUUAGAAAAUUCCUCCAUUUCUCUUCAAAUAUCAAUAAUCUAAUGCCAAAAAUGAAGAUUUAUUCAUGAAUAUAAUCACAAGGGAGUCAAGAACACUUACCCAAAUUUUGUGGUGAACUUUUCCUCUGAAAAUUGCCCAAACCGAGCUUGGGAGUCCAAAAAUGAAAGAAAAUUCGGACUGCUCUAUCUAGAAUUUUUCGCGGUACUAUUCACGGAUACUGUUCACGGAUAUUGUUUACGGAUACUGUACACGGCUACUGUACAUGGAUACUGUGCACGUAUAUUGUUCACGCAGGUGCGGUCACUAUUCACACGUGCGAAAAAUGCAGAAACUGCCCAGAAAAUUUCAGCAGAUAAAUACAAGUCCGAAUUGAUCUGUUAACCUUCCGAAAUCCACUCGAGGCCCUCGAGACCUCAACAAAAUACACCAACAAGUCCUAAAACAUCAUACGAACUUAGGCGAAACCUUAAAUCACAUCAUAAAAUGCUAAAACCGUGCAUCACACCCCAAUUCAAGCCUAAUGAAUCUAAGAAGUCCAACUUCUAUAUUCGAUGCAAAAACAUAUCAAAUCAAGUCUGAAUGACUUUCAAUUUUGCAUACAAGUCAUAAAUGACAUAACGAAACUAUGAAAAUUUUCAUAACUGGAUUCCGACCCUGAUAUCAAAAAGUCAACCCCCGGUCAAACUUCCAAACUUAAAUUUCUUAUUUUCGCCAUUUCAAGUCUAUUUUAGCUACGGACCUCGAAAUAAAUAUCCGGACACACUCCUAAGCCCAAAAUCACCAUACGGAGCUAUUGAAAUUAUCAAAAAUCUAUUCCGGAGUCAUUUGCUCAAAAGUCAAAUCUCCGGUCAAACUUAAAAAAUCUUUAGCCUUAGAUUUCUAGAUUUCGUUAAAUGAUGAUAAUUUGAUCUAGGGACCUCCGAAUUCGAUUUUGGGCAUAUGACCAAGUCCCAAAUCACGAUAUGGUGCUACCGGAAUGGUCAAAACUCAAAUCCAGGUUCGUUUGCUCAAAAUGUUGACCAAAGUCAACUUAGUUGAGUUUUAAAGCUCUAAUUCACAAUUUAAUCUAUUUUUCACAUAAAAACCUUCCAGAAAAUUAUACGGACUGUGCACGCAAGUCGAGAAAUAAUUAAUAGCGCUCUUCAAGGUCUUAAAACUCCAAGAUGAGUAUUAAUUUAAAGAUGACAUUUUGGGUCAUCACAUAAACACUCAAUUCAUCAUAUCCGUAAAAGUUGUUUGUGUGUUAGUUAAGCCAAAGGACACAACAAGAAACUCGUAAUGACCAUAUACGGUCCGAAAGGCUGUCUUCGGAAUAUCUUCUUCAUUAAUUCUUAACUGAUGAUACCCAGAUCUGAGAUCAAUCUUCGAAAAAUGCUUAGCGCUUUGCAAUUGAUCAAACAAAUCAUCGAUCCUUGGAAGAGGAUACUUAUUCUUUAUGGUUACCUUAUUCCGCUUUCGAUAAUCAAUGCACAUCCUCUACGAAUAGUAUUUCUUUUGAACGAAUAGCAUUGGAGCUCCCCACAUGGAAGUACUGGGUCGGAUAAAACCCUUAUCUAAAAGAUCUUUCAUUUGAGCUUUCAAUCCCUUCAACUCGGUAGGAGCCAUCCUGCACAGAGGGAUAGAUAUCGAUUGCGUAUCGAGUGGCACAAUGAUGGAAAACUCAAUCUCUCUCUCUGGUGGUAUACCCGGGAUCUCAUCACGGAACACAUUAGAAAAUUCACUAACAAAUGGAACCAAUCGUGAAAUUCACUAAUAUAGAGGCAAUUUCAAGCUUUAUUCAUGCUAGAUCCUACGAGAUUCGCCUCCGAUUUAGCUUUAGACUACUUGAAAAUUUAAAAAAAAUGGAUUUGAGAGCAUCUUGGGGGAACUAAAGUGAGUGAUAUCUCCUAGAAUGAAAGAGAAGAGAUGUGCACUACCCUUUUAUAUACUUAGUCUAGAAAACUCUGCCACUCCGAAUGCCAAAUGGGUUGCCCCGCACCGGCCACUGCGCCCGAUGGGACAACUGGCGCAAUUUGGUCACAUGUAGUCACCCCUGUGCACGUGCCACCAUAUGGUUGGUUGUACUUACCUCAUGAAUCUUCAACUUUGUAUGUGGGGGAAUAGUGUGGGUGUAACAAUUUCAAGAAUCUAUAUGAAUUAUUAACAUACAAGAUAUGAAAUUUUGAAAUAAAAUUUGAGGUUUUGACUACACUUUAAGAGAGUGUAUUUUGCAGAUUUGAGGGUUUGGACUUGAUUUUGGAAUCUAAUCACAUAUUUGGAUUCAACAAAUUAUGAGUCAUCAGGAUUGGUGUUGGUUCAAAAUUUUAAAAUUUUAAACAUGCGGGCCCGGAUUGAAUUUUGUUGAUUUUUUAGGGAUUUUCUAAAGAUCAAAGCUUUACGGAUUGAGGUUACUUCCUAUAGCAUUGUUUGACUUUCUCGGAUGAUGUUUUGGCUUGGAUUUACAUAAUUGGAGGGCUAGAACGAGAUUUUAACGCGAUUUGAGGUUGAAGUCUAGUCGGAUGCGGUAAGUGUCUUGUCUAGCUUUGGUUGAGGGAAUUUUCUCUAAUAAUUGAUAUUGUUUGCUACAUGGAGGAAUGAUGUAUAUAUGAGAUGACGGUUGUAAUAUACAUGUUCCAAGAGUAUUCACACUAGGGGUGGAUUCUAGACUACUUUAUAUGUUGUUUGGUUGUAUGUUCUACUUGUUGUAUAUUUUACUCAACUGAUUGACUACAUGAGCAUAGUAAAAUCUUGCUAGAGUCAAUUUUGAGGCUAAUGGUACCUAAUUUUGAGCAUGAUGAACUAUUUUUGAGUUCAUUGUCAUACUUGCUCUAGACAUAGACACACGUAUAUUAUGAACACACACCCGUAUUUGUUAUUCUUCUGUUAUGCCUUAAAUUGAUGUAGCCUUGUUAAAGACUAUGAAAUGAAUUUUGAUGCUUAUUUGGGCAUGAAAAUUAUUCGGGAUGACGUAUACAUGUUAAGUCCUUGGUCAUACGUACAUAUAUGCAUACAUCUUAUCUAUGGAUCAUUCUUUGUAUACAUGCAUACAUCCAUGUAUGUAUAUUUCUAUAUCAAUGUGCAUUAUAUAUGAUUAUCUCUUAUUCAUAUGCAUACAACACUGUACAUGGUUCUUGGAUAUGGGCUAAGGUUAUAGCACAAGGUGUUUGCCCUGUAAAUAUUUUGAUAUUGUUAUUGAUUUGGCAUAAGGUCUUUGUCGUGCAAUCAUUGUGAUAUUGUUAUCGAUCUGGCAUGAAGUCUUUGCCGUGCGGUGACUGCGAUAUGAUAUUAUUUUGGCACGAGAUCUUUUCCAUACGAUUAUAGUGAUAUUGAUAUUGAUAUUUUGUAGCACAAGGUUUCUACCAUGCAAUGCACGAGACUUCGGCCGUGCAACACGUGGAUAUGGAUCUAUCCCCUAGGGUCUCCCUCUCAUAUUUUUCUAUGGAUGGCGUAUAUGUAGGUUGUGAGAAACUGAUGAAUCUCUAGUUGAUUGUGAUGUGGGAUCUGAUGUGAUGAGUUAUUGAGCAUAACGGUGGAAGCUUGUCCAUUCAAGUGAUUCAUGCAUUUACAUGCAUUAUCCAUGCAUAUCAUCUAUAUAUUUUAGCUGAUGCAUUUUAUAUAUGAAUGAGACUUAAUAGUAAGUUGUUGGACUCUUGGAGAGUGUCGGGUUGAGGUAAAAGAGUGUUAUCAUCAUACAUUGAUAUGUUGGACUCAUGUAAAGGUCUCAUAAACAUACCAAUUAGAUCUUUGUUGUAUAUAGACACUCUUCAUUCUUGUAGAAGUAUUGAAUACACAUGACUUGGUGCAUUAUCUUUUGUGUGCAGAGUUGAUGCAAGUUGUAUUUGCUUUGACCUGUUAAAUUGUAAAGGCAUGUUUUUUAUUUCUUCGUUAAUCGUGCACAUUUAUUUGCGAUAUCCAUUGUUCUAUGACUGUUUCCUCGGAUACUUUCUUGCCCUAUAUAUGUUAUUGCGCUGCACAUAUUAUAUUAGUGACUAUCUUUUGACUUAAAAACCUCAUCACUAAUUUACUAAGGCCAAUCAAGAUACUUACCGAAUACAUGAGAUCGGUUGUACUCAUACUACACUUAUGCACCUUGCAUGCAGAUUUUGGAGUUAAGUUGUUAUGAAGGACGAAGCCUAGCAUUAAAGACGUACCAACAUUCUAGAUACAAGCUACCACUUGUUUAUAAUAGUUUAGGACUUAUAUUUCUGUUUAUGUAAAUUUCAAAUAGAUGAUGUAUCUUUCUUCAAACUAGAGUUGUAUUCUUAUUCUUAGUCGCUCAUGACUUAUACUACCAGUUCUUGGGAUAGUUAUAUUGUAAGGCCCCGUAAUAUUUUACCUAAAACCUGGGAGUUCGUGUUGCCGGGGUAAACAUAUGUGUUAAUGAUUAUAGAGAUUCUUAACAGCGAGCUUGUGAGCCGCGGUGCAGACUUUUUUGAUUGAACAGUGCACUGGGCAUUAAAGGAAAAUGUUUGGAAGAAAAAGGCAUUUUUGCGGUCCACUAUGCGGCCGCAGAAUCACUCUACGGGCCGUAGAAUGGCUGCAGAGUAGGGCAAAAAACUGGGCAAGUUUUAGAUGGCAUUUUGCGGUCAAUUAUGCGACCGCAGAACAGGUAUGCGAGCCGUAGAACAACCGCAUACCCCAGGUAGAGGUGCCCAGUUCUGGAGGGCCAUUUUCGCGGACCACAGAAGCAUUAUGCGGUCACAUAUAUGCGACCGUAGAUUGUGUUUCGGAGCUUCAUUUUUCUAAUUUUACAACCCGACCCCCAUUUCAUUUAUCUAUCUUAAGGGUUAAUUUUUUGGAGGAUUACUUGAUGUUUUAGAGAGAGGGGAAAGAUAUUCUAGAGAGAGGAAAGGGAUGGGUAAGGAUUUCACUACUCUACCUUGAAUCAAACCUUGAAAUUUCGUCAAAGGAACUUGCUAAGGCUUCAAAGAGGUAGGAAUUUCUUUCCCCAAUUCUUCAAUUUUUGGUUUGGAGUUGAUUAUGGGUGAUUAGGGUAGAUUUAUCAUAUGCAUGAGCUAAUAGAGACUAUGGGGAAAUUGUUGAACCAUCUUGGAUAAUUUUAUUCUUGAAUUAGUUGAGGGAAAGGUUGGGUCAUAGUGGUAACAGCCCUUACGUUACAAAUUUCCCUAAUCAUGCUUGUAAUUCUCCCCUCCUCUAUAAAUUGGCAUCAUUAGGAGUGUUGGGACAUUAUCAUUGCACUACGAAAAGUUCUUUCGAGGUAUGAAGGCUAAACUCUAUUUCUGUUAUUAAAAUUUUCGUAUUCUUACAAAAUUCCAUCAUAGGAAGUUCAAACUUAAAAUACUAUUGAUGUGGGAUGUUUGAGCCCAUAAAUUGAUUCCCGAUUGGCAUAACGUGUUAGAACCCUCAUGGGUUAAUGAUUCUCCAUAUUUGACUUAAUUAUGUUAUACCCCCUCCCCCAUUUGGGGAAAAAUAUUGUUAUGAAAUCAAUGUGAUUAAAUUCUUGUUCCCAUAUGAAAAAAGCUUAUGAAUUAAUGUUCUUGUUAAGGCCAAAGGUGCUAAAGAGAGUGAAUUGAAAGGGAACCUUUUGCACAACUAUUAUCAUUUGAAAAUCUAAAUUUCAGUAUUGUGGCUACACCUCCACCCGCAUACAUUGGGGUGAGGCGGCAGGGCCACUUUGUUUAUAAUUGUGAUAUUGUGGUUGCACCUCCACCCGUAUACAAUGGGGUGAGGCGGCAAGGCUGCUUUGUGUAGGGUUGUAUUAUUGGGAUUUCACCUCCACCUGCAUACAUUAGGGUGAGGCAGUAGGGUCGCUUGUGUAGAGCUGUGGUAUUGGGAUUACACCUCCACCCGCAUACAUUGGGGUGAGGUGGUAGGACUGCUUUGUGUAGAGUUUAUGGUAUUGUGAUUGCACCUCCACCCGCAUACAUUGGGGUGAAGCUAUGGGGCCGCUUUGUGUAAAGGUGGUUACAGACUCGACUUAAAAUUUAUGAAUGUUAUUGAAAGCUCUUGAUAAAUUUGCUUUGGAUUUAACGGUUAUCUAUGCCAUUCUAUUGUUACCAUGAUCCAUCAUAUUCAUGUUGUAUUUCCAAUUCCUUGAUUAGAUGUUUUGUUUUCAUACUUGUAUUAUUCGACAUGUACUAACGUCCCUUUUGCCAGGGCCGCUGCAUCUUUAAUGGAUGCAGGUAGUUCCACAGCAGAAGGCAUUGACAAGUGAUAGCGGUACACAUCUUCCCAACUCACUUGGUGAGCCCUACUUCAUUUCGGGGUUGUGCAUCUUUUGUUCCGUGUGUAUUAAUAUGUUUUGAGGUAUAGCCGGAGC
rnacentral:lncRNA from 1 species